GGCCCCAUCGUCUAGAGGCCAAGGACACCACCCUCUCAAGGUGGAGACACGGGUUCGAAUCCCGUUGGGGCUG
rnacentral:tRNA from 2 species